UACGUAGGGUGCAAGCGUUAAUCGGAAUUACUGGGCGUAAAGCGUACGCAGGCGGUUUUGUAAGUCUGUCGUGAAAGCCCCGGGCUCAACCUGGGAAUUGCGAUGGAGACUGCAAGGCUUGAAUCUGGCAGAGGGGGGUAGAAUUCCACGUGUAGCAGUGAAAUGCGUAGAGAUGUGGAGGAACACCGAUGGCGAAGGCAGCCCCCUGGGUCAAGAUUGACGCUCAUGCACGAAAGCGUGGGGAGCAAACAGG
rnacentral:rRNA from 1 species